rnacentral:rRNA from 1 species
AAAAACAUGGCCUUUUGAUUAAAAUUUAAGGUCUAGCCUGCUCAAUGAGUUUUAAAUAGCCGCAGUAUCUUAACUGUGCAAAGGUAGCAUAAUCAUUAGUUUCUUAAUUAGAAGCUGGAAUGAAAGGUUGAAUGAGAAAAUAGCUGUCUCUAUGAAAAUUUUAUAGAAUUUUAUUUUUAAGUAAAAAAGCUUAAAUAUGAAUAAAAGACGAGAAGACCCUAUAGAGUUUUAUAUUUAUAAAUUAUAUUUUUUUUAGUAUUUUAAAAUCUAUCUUAUUUAUAAUAUUUAAUUGGGGUGAUUGGAAAAUUUAAUAAACUUUUCUUGUACUAUAAAACAUUUAUGUAUGAAAAUAUGAUCCUUUUUUUUGAUUAUAAGAUAAAAUUACCUUAGGGAUAACAGCGUAAUUUUUUUUGAGAGUUCUUAUCGAAAAAAGAGAUUGCGACCUCGAUGUUGGAUUAAAAUGAAUUUUUGGUGUAAAAGCUAAAUUAAUUAGGUCUGUUCGACCUUUAAAAUUUUACUUGAUCUGAGUU